rnacentral:rRNA from 1 species
UACGGGGGGGGCAAGCGUUGUUCGGAAUUACUGGGCGUAAAGGGCUCGUAGGCGGCCAACUAGGUCCGACGUGAAAUCCCCAGGCUUAACCUGGGAACUGGGUCGGAUACUGGUUGGCUUGAAUCCGGGAGAGGGAUGCGGAAUUCCAGGUGUAGCGGUGAAAUGCGUAGAUAUCUGGAGGAACACCGGUGGCGAAGGCGGCAUCCUGGACCGGCAUUGACGCUGAGGCGCGAAAGCCAGGGGAGCAAACGGG